GGCCUCGUGGUGUAUUGGUAACAUGUCUUCCAAUAUUUCCGAAGUAAUACUCUUCAGAGGAAGUCCCUUGUUCGAAUCAAGGCGAGGCCA